CGAACGCUGGCGGCGUGCUUAACACAUGCAAGUCGAACGGAAAGGCCCCUUUGGGGGUACUCGAGUGGCGAACGGGUGAGUAACACGUGAGUAACCUGCCCUUGACUUCGGGAUAACUUCAGGAAACUGGGGCUAAUACCGGAUAGGAAUCCUUGCUGCAUGGUGGGGGUUGGAAAGCUUCGGCGGUUUUGGAUGGACUCGCGGCUUAUCAGCUUGUUGGUGGGGUAGUGGCUUACCAAGGCUUUGACGGGUAGCCGGCCUGAGAGGGCGACCGGCCACAUUGGGACUGAGAUACGGCCCAGACUCCUACGGGAGGCAGCAGUGGGGAAUAUUGCACAAUGGGCGGAAGCCUGAUGCAGCAACGCCGCGUGCGGGAGGACGGCCUUCGGGUUGUAAACCGCUUUCAGCAGGGGCGAAGCUUGUGGUGACGGUACCUGCAGAAGAAGCACCGGCUAACUACGUG
rnacentral:rRNA from 1 species